rnacentral:rRNA from 1 species
GACGAACGCUGGCGGCGUGCCUAAUACAUGCAAGUAGAACGCUGAAGAGAGGAGCUUGCUCUUCUUGGAUGAGUUGCGAACGGGUGAGUAACGCGUAGGUAACCUGCCUUGUAGCGGGGGAUAACUAUUGGAAACGAUAGCUAAUACCGCAUAACAAUGGAUGACACAUGUCAUUUAUUUGAAAGGGGCAAUUGCUCCACUACAAGAUGGACCUGCGUUGUAUUAGCUAGUAGGUGAGGUAACGGCUCACCUAGGCGACGAUACAUAGCCGACCUGAGAGGGUGAUCGGCCACACUGGGACUGAGACACGGCCCAGACUCCUACGGGAGGCAGCAGUAGGGAAUCUUCGGCAAUGGGGGCAACCCUGACCGAGCAACGCCGCGUGAGUGAAGAAGGUUUUCGGAUCGUAAAGCUCUGUUGUAAGUCAAGAACGAGUGUGAGAGUGGAAAGUUCACACUGUGACGGUAGCUUACCAGAAAGGGACGGCUAACUACGUGCCAGCAGCCGCGGUAAUACGUAGGUCCCGAGCGUUGUCCGGAUUUAUUGGGCGUAAAGCGAGCGCAGGCGGUUUGAUAAGUCUGAAGUUAAAGGCUGUGGCUCAACCAUAGUUCGCUUUGGAAACUGUCAAACUUGAGUGCAGAAGGGGAGAGUGGAAUUCCAUGUGUAGCGGUGAAAUGCGUAGAUAUAUGGAGGAACACCGGUGGCGAAAGCGGCUCUCUGGUCUGUAACUGACGCUGAGGCUCGAAAGCGUGGGGAGCGAACAGGAUUAGAUACCCUGGUAGUCCACGCCGUAAACGAUGAGUGCUAGGUGUUGGAUCCUUCCCGGGAUUCAGUGCCGCAGCUAACGCAUUAAGCACUCCGCCUGGGGAGUACGACCGCAAGGUUGAAACUCAAAGGAAUUGACGGGGGCCCGCACAAGCGGUGGAGCAUGUGGUUUAAUUCGAAGCAACGCGAAGAACCUUACCAGGUCUUGACAUCCCGAUGCUAUUUCUAGAGAUAGAAAGUUACUUCGGUACAUCGGUGACAGGUGGUGCAUGGUUGUCGUCAGCUCGUGUCGUGAGAUGUUGGGUUAAGUCCCGCAACGAGCGCAACCCCUAUUGUUAGUUGCCAUCAUUCAGUUGGGCACUCUAGCGAGACUGCCGGUAAUAAACCGGAGGAAGGUGGGGAUGACGUCAAAUCAUCAUGCCCCUUAUGACCUGGGCUACACACGUGCUACAAUGGUUGGUACAACGAGUUGCGAGUCGGUGACGGCAAGCUAAUCUCUUAAAGCCAAUCUCAGUUCGGAUUGUAGGCUGCAACUCGCCUACAUGAAGUCGGAAUCGCUAGUAAUCGCGGAUCAGCACGCCGCGGUGAAUACGUUCCCGGGCCU